UGCCCUGAAGGUCUUUAGUGAAAAUGAAUCUUGUCUGGCUAGUCUCAAAAAAGAUGUCUCCAAGCCCUCUUUCUUCUCCCACGGGGUUUUUUCUCUGGGAGGAUGUAUGGGACUAAUGAUUUGUUUGGCAUUUACUUUCAUCAAAAACGUCUGCGUCAUCCAGCUUUGCCUUGGAUUCAUUUGUCAUUGGCAUUUGAUUUGUUUGUGAGGUGGGAGUGGCUGGAGGGGUUGUGUACUAUGAACACGGCAUUCACAGAAAACAAUGCACUCCAUGUGGACAGAGUUGUGGCUAGAACACCCUUUUUGCAUCCUAACCCUCAAAGAUGGAUCCAGAACAGAAUGAAAAAGAUUCCAUUCUGGACUUGGAAACUGAGCCUGAAAGCCUAUUAACACUGUCUAUUGAUCUGCAACAACUGGAUGGACACGAAUGGACUCUUCAAGACAGGGAAGAAAGAAGAUUUCCACCACCUUCAGACUUCUUGGGAGACCUUGGCGAACAGAGAAACAGACCCAUGCCCCUAGAACACAGGAUUCCCACAAUGACAGAAGACGUGGCUAGAAAUGCCCUCGUUAGCUUUGUUAAUUCCAAGUGUUGCUAUGGUAAUAAAGCUGCAGGAGAACUGGUCAUUCAGGAUUUGAGGCAGCUGACUUUAUACCGAUAUCGACUGGAGACCUUUAACGAAUCAAGGUUAAGUGAAUGGACUUUUGAACCUUUGACUAGUAACUUGGUAGAUGGACCACAAAAUGGCACUUCUCCUCGGCCAUGGGACAUUAAAGUUCAGACUCCACCACUGUUUCAGGACGAUACAAGAAAGUUUCGAAUACCUCACUCUUCUUUAGUUAAGGCAUGCCACAAAUGCCACGGUCAUGGUAGAUACAAAUGCAGCGGGUGCCAGGGUGCAGGCUGGAUGAGGUGCGUUUCUUGCAGUGGAACACGACAGAGGAGAAAGCAGCAAAGGAGGUGUCAGAUGUGUUCAGGGACUGGCCGGAAAAGGUGCAGCACUUGUUCUGGGCGUGGCAAUAAAACCUGUAUGACAUGCCAAGGAGAGAAAAAGCUCUUGCAUUUCAAACAGCUGAUAAUAACUUGGAAGAACAAUGUGUUUGAAUUUGUUUCGGAGCAUCAACUGGACUUUCCAGGAGAGCUGCUGAGUAAGGUCAAUGGAGAGAAUGUAUUUAAAGAUGAAAAUGUUCUGGUGUAUCCCAUUAUUGACUUCCCCAAGCCUGAGAUAUCUCUAGCGUCACAGAGAGCUAUUGCAGAACAUAAUGCAGCAUUCACUGCAUCAUCACGUAUUCUGCAGCAGAAUAAAAGAUCCCUGCAGGCAAGAAGUGGAGGUAAAAUCCAACAGUCAAGACAAGACAAAUACAGCAGUCCUUUGAAGGCCCUAUCGCGUCAAACCAUUGAACUGAUCCCCAUCACAGAAGUUCACUAUCAGUAUGCAGGGAAGACCUACCUCUACUUCAUCUAUGGACUAGAAAACAAGGUGUAUACGCUGGACUACCCAGAGAGGUACUGCUGUGGCUGUACUAUCAUAUGACACCUAUGGGAGGCUCCUAAAGAAGAAAUCUGCUGUGUGGAAGCCAACUAGUCUGUGGUUAGACUGGCAGUAUUAGGACUCAUGAUUUCCAGUGGAUGAAUCCAGUGAAGUUAGCGCCGGAGAAAAUGGUAAACUGGCAAGACUCAGGUAAACACUAAAAUGUGAGGUGAGAGAGACCCACUUUCCUCAUCUCCCAAAGGGAAAUGCUGCUGAAUAAACUUAGUUAACAGUUUUUUAAAGGAUUUUUUUCUGUUUUGAGUAUUGCUGUAAUUCUGUCUGGGAUCCACAACAUGGCCUACCAUGGCCCCACUCAUGGAUGGUCCAUACAGGAUGCAAGAGCUCUGUAAUUCAUUCACUCCCCUCUGUGCAUCUCGGCAGAAAAACGCCAUAAGGAACCAAGCUGAUUUAGUAGGAGAAACCUCUUACAAUGGAAGUAAAACGCAUAUUGAGAAAUCUACUCAUUAACAGAGGUGUAACAACAAAUGCUUGUGCUUAAGAACACAGAUUUCAAACAAUGUUGCCCACAUACAUAUAUUUAUCUGGGUUCUGAGGAAACCACGUCGGCUUUCCCCACAUUAGCAACGUCAUGCAUCCCUGGUGUGAUGCUCCUGAAAUCAAAGGGUGCUACGCCAGGCAUGGAUAUAGCUACAGUCGUCUCCAGUACUUGGACAACAAUUUUAUGGUCUCUAAGCAGGGUAUACAAUUGUUUUGUUUCAAUUGACUUCUGGGAGUUCCUGGAACAAAAAGUUGUAUUUUCUCUGCAACAGAGAGCUGCAGCUGACACUUUAAUGGUAUCGCCAUGAUUUUCUUAGGAGGCACUCUUUUUACCUGGACAACAGAAACUGGUGUCUUUUAUUUAUUUAUUUAUUUUUACAACAGAGCGUGUGGUUUAUUUAAAGUCGUGAGUCAAACAAAGCAUGCAAGCACAGCCGAGGCAGGCUAAAUUAGAUAAGUACUAGGCCAUAAAGCUUCUGAAGGAUAUAUGAAGUCUGCAUGAUCAGACUCCCCGACUAGUGAAGCAUAACAGAAAGGCCUAAAAUAUAUAGAAAUAUAAAACAGAGAGUGAGACUAUUUUUGCCAGUUUUUAUUCAAAAUAAAUUCAAAUUUAGAAACAAUAAGUCCGUUAGUUCUAAAUUGGGAUAAUUAACCUCACUUUUGUAUAAGGCAACAUGAAUCCAUACCAACCUUAUUUUAAGAUAGCCAAAAAGCAGGGAGUUGCUUCAGGCCUGUAGAAGAGUGUGAUUUCUGAAACCCCAAAACACUUUAUAGUUCAAAAUGAAUGCCCGUGUUCUCUUUCCACCACUGAAUUUCUUUCUCUGGGGUUUUUAAGAAAGCUUUAAAAUAGUGUUUAUAUAGUUUCUGUAGCUCGUCUGUGGCUCAUGUUUUUCUCACCUGAUAUUGUAGAGAUGUGAUGCUGUAUUACGGAAAUGGAUCUAUAAACAUAUGAUUAUUUAAAACCGCUGCAAAAAUUAAGACUUCCAACAUUUCUACUUUUUGAGGUUUUUUCUUCACAGUCCAAGUUAUGCUGCACAUCAGCAAUUGUUACCACUGAUGGAUAUAAGUGCUAACAAUUAAGCCAAUGACAGAAGACCUAAUCACUCUAAUUAGAGAGAGAUUUUUCUCAUAUGAGUAGUUUAAUUGGUUUCAUCAAAUAAGGCAGACCUGAUUGUGCUCAUAAUGUAUUGAAGGAUUUAUAUACAUUUUGUUUUGUUUCCCUUCUUUUUUUUUUUAUUACCAAGAACUCAUGUACAUUCAGCUUUACCUCAUCUCUUGCUGCUUGCAGCUAGUUGGUGUUAGCCAAUUUGGCCACCAAAAAUGACCCCUUUGAUGGAAAUAUUUGACAAAACUACUCUUAUUCUCCCUAGCUGAAUUAUUUCCUAAAUGCAUUUGUGUGCAUGGGGAAGAGUAGAUAAGAUAAUUUCUCCUAUCCUUUUAAAAAUACCCCACCCUAGGACCUCUGCAAGGAAAGAAGUUCAGAUAAAAUUGGCUCACAUCUAUACCUCUACACUUGUCCCAAAUCAAAUUUCCCAUCCCUCUUCUUUUCAGCUUUGUAUCUUCACCAGAAAUCCAAGCCUUUAUGCCUGAAUGGAGAGCUGACUCUCUUUUAGUUCAGGGGUCCACAAGCAGCUCUUGAAACCUUGGUUUUCUUCUACAACUCCCUAGUGGAAAAUUAUAAAUAUACUCACACCUCAGGGCCACUAUGGAGGGAUUCAGAACUGCCUUGAUUUUCCCCGAGUGCUUCAUAGCCACCUUGCAUAGCAAUAGCAAGAAUGAGCACUGUCACAUGAUACUCUCAUUUGCCCAUUUUCUCUCCACAGAGGACCAGAACCUAGACCAGAGAUGGACUGGACUCGCAUGUACCCUAAAUUAGGGAUCACUCCCCCACUCUGACAGGUCACUCCCCUUUGUCACACACAUUUCUCUAUGAGCAUCCCAUUGGUUUAGCUAGCACUCUGACCUGAACAUUUUCAUUAAAGAUUUCAAAACUCGCAAGUCUGAUUUCCAUUAUGAUUAUAUCUUGAAAAAUGUUUUUUU